UUCCUCUCGAAACUAUUUUGAAUAUUAACAAAACUAUUUCACAAAUAAAUCCUCACUAUUUCCAUCCUACUAAUACUCAGCAGAUCCUGAUUACCUUAAUAAGCUUGUGAACCUGUAGGUUCGGUAAAACACAGACAUGAACAAAAUUCCUUUGUUCAAUGACCGAUAGCGGAACCGAGGACAUCCAUAUCGAUCCCUAUGAUUAUAGAAUGACAUUCGAGUGGACCUUUGGGGUAUCAUGUGCUAUUACCUUUGCUUCGCGGUAGUUUACAAAACCCGAAGUGAGAUGUAUUGGUAUCCUCUUGAGUCAUACACAUGCUCCCUAUACCGAUCUCCUCGUUACCGGUUUUGUUCUUCUUUCUUGUUGACAUGUUCCGGCAUCCCGUGACAUAGUCACCUGUGUUUGGCUAGACGAUGACGGAUGCCGUCACACUGAGAUGGCCCUAAGAAUAUGUCUCCAUCGCCGGAGGAGAAAAUCCCAUUAUCUAGGUAUCUAGUGCCUCGUCAAACUUUCCGAUGCACCUGUAAGUUGUCGUUAUAAUCAUCGUGUUACAGAUGAUGUUUGAGCAACCUCAAAGUCCACCGUACACUAAGAAGUGACGACGAUACUCUCAUGGUCUAAGGAACUAAAACACACGUUAACACUUCGUGUUAUAACAAUUAAUUUUAGACGGUAUUAUCUCAAAGUAUAACAAACAAGUUUUGGUCGAUUCAAUAUGAUCGUUCUUAUAAUGGCAUACUCUUAAUGUUUGUUUUAGGACUAUCGUUACACUUAACGAUAUCCUAAGAUCCAGAAAAAAUGAUCACAAACAACACUUGAGCUAGUCUUAGAGGUGAGACUAGGAAUCUAAUUUUUGCCAUGUAUCAUUCCAUACGUGCAUUUGAGUUUUCCAUUGAAUCGCAUAUUCCAGGAUCAUAGCAGUUAUAGCAUAAAAUGUAAACUCUUAACUAUGAACAUGAAAAAUAUAAUAAUACAAUAUUAUUGCAUGUAGGGCAUAUUUCCAAAGUCUCACACUUGCAAUAGAGUCAGUAAUCUAGUUAUCACAUUUUCUUUUACACCAAUGGCAAUCCGGUGUUUGUUCAUGCUUUGCUUGUGGUAUAGCCUUCCUCCCAUCAGAUCUUGACACCAUUUGCAUAUUUAUGCAUCUAUCAUGCUUUUACAAGAAUCCAUAAUUUAUGUGAAACAAGAUUUGUAUAUAAACUGGGUUAUGGAACCACUAUUGAGAAUAGUGUUCUAUUGGCACAAUCAUCUAGAAACUAUACCAAGCUUAUAAAUACUCAGGAUUCUGUUAUAGAAUUCACCAUAGUAACUUUCUUGGACCAAUUCCAAUUUAUUGUGUCACCAUAAAUCAUUUAAUUCCCCCUAUCCGCGGAUGGAUACAGAAGAAAAUUUACGGGUCGCCGUUAGAGAUGCCCUUAUUGUUUUUUCUCACGAAGAAAGUGCCAUAACAGCAAGACAUGAUCUGUAGCCAACUAGCCAUGCUUGAAAAGAAAACUUGCCUUCUCUUAGCUAAAAAGAUGAGCUCUCAGUAAAAGAGCUAAGAUAUUUGCCUGUAUUGUAUGAGAUCCAUUCUCUUAUUCGCAUAUUUCUAAUUUUGAUUCCCAUAUUUGUAUAGUCUCACAAUAUCAAAUGCCAGGAAAAGCACUAAAUGAUGAUCCAUUGCAUAAUGUUUUAUUGCAAGACAAUAGUGUGCUACCAACCGUCGUACAUGCCCUUAUUGGCUUCUGUCUUAGAGAGAAACUGUCGCAUCAGGCUAGAUAUUGUGACCACUCUGCAAAUGGCAGCCAUAAAAGCGAGACACGAUCAGCGCCCAUGCUUACCGACUACCCACAAUGGGAGUAACAUAGGUAGUAACAUCACAUAUAUCUAGAUAAAAUAGAUGAUGUGGCAAACAAUAAAUGAAGAAAGAGAGACAUGUGAUAACAUAGCUAGUUACUACUAGUAUGAGUAACAUCACACAUAUCAAGGCAAGAUGAGUCUAUAGCCUAAUAAAUAAAGUGUUACAUGUUACCACAUAUAUGUUACUCCCCACUAUAGAGAUAGUAACAUAGAGUAGUAACAUGCCCAUGUUACUACUCUAUGUUACUACCCAUUAUGGCUAGUCAACACGAGAAAUGCAUGGAUGAACCCAGGUACAUAUGAACCCACUUUAAAAAACACAUUUCUAAAUUCUAAAAAAAUCUGGAAAAAAUUGCACGGGUACGUCUCCAUGUUCUAUGUGCGUGCAUAAAGUUUCACGGAAAAAUAACUUUUUUGUGGCCUGUGCAAAAAAGACAAAAAUUUAUGUCGUGAAACACUAUUUAGAAGCACUGAAAUUUGUCUUUUUUGCGGAGGCAAAACAAAAAGACAUUUUUUCAUAAAACUUUGUGCCGCGUACACACAUUUGCGAACAUAUAUGCGUGAUAUUUUCUUUUGAUUUUUUUGACAUUUUAAAACAUGCUUAAAAUGCAUUUUAUGAAAAGUGGAUGCAUAUACCCAUGAGUUCAGAUGAUGCCCUCUCUAGUCAACACGCCUCAUUUAAUCACCAGCCUUCGCCUACAGCUAUGUGUGCCGAGACACACAUGUCGAAUACCGGCCAGUGAUCAUUAGAAGAAAUCAAUCCGUGCAUUGCAUGGGCAGUAUUUAUGGGCGAUUGAAAAUAAGGGCGCUCUGAUUUUUCUUUCUUCUUUUUGAGGAAAAAAUAUCUCUAAUUAUCUUUCUUACAUGAUCGUUGGCUACUCUGCAACGGCCCAUGCCAAAUGCACGUUAAUCCAUACAUCAUGUCGACGUUGAACAUUCUCCCGACCCAGCAUAACGCGGGCGCGUUGUCGCACUUAAAUUAGUGGCCCAUCCUAAUGUGACGCGCGACACGUACAGGGUAUCGUUUUUCUUUCUUUGGAGGUACAGGCUACAGGGUAUUUUCGUUGAUGUAUACAGCGAGCUGCCCAUCUCUCCCUCCCUCUUUUUUUUCUGAAUAAUAAAAGAGGGGCUGCCCCCCUCUCUCAUCUCCAGAUGGCAACGGGGACGAAACUCAUCGGGUUUUGCCUUUCCGAACUCAUCCCCACGAGAAAAUCGCAAACCCAUCCCCGUCCCCAUCACCAUGUGCGGGGCUAGUUUUUCGCUCGUCCCCUAAACCCAUCGGGUUUCGGGGAACCCACGGGAAACCCAUGAGAAAAUAAAAAUAUUUAAACAAACAUAGUUGCGACAAAGUAUAACAUUUGAAUAGCAAAACAAGCACAUUUCAGCAGCAUAACUGAAGCAAAUUUUAACAGAAAACAAUAGUAGAUGGUUCAACAGCUAUAUAGAGUAUAUUUUAGCAGAGUUAAACAACAUACAUAGUAUAUUUCGGAGGCAGCAAACAUAACAUAGUAGCAACAAUGAUAUCAUUUCAGCAGCAACAUAGUAUAUUUCAGCAGCAAAACAACUGCAAAUUUCAGCACAAUACUCAGGAAUAACAUCAGCUAAAAGAAGCCUAUUUCAGCACAACUAUAUCCCAUUUCAACAACGAAGAUAAGCAUAUUUCAGCAACAAACAGGAGCAUAUUUCAGUAAAAAAAAUGUAUUUUGCCGGGUUUGCCGGGUUUCGGGUUCGGGGACUACCGAAACGGGUGCAAACCCAUGAAACGUGUCGGGUUGUAUAAUGCGCUCAACAACAGCCCCGCGGGGAUGAAAAGAUGCCCAUCCCCGUCCCCUAAUAGGGUAAAAACCCGCGAGGACGCGGGUUUCGGUGCCCCGUUGCCAUCUUGACUCUCAUCCACACACAUCGCCGUAUGUCACAUUGAAAUGGGUGACUUUCGUCAAAACUAAUUCUUUCUUGCCUUUUUCGGUAGUUUGAUGUACUCCCUCUGUAAAUUAAUAUAAGAGCGUUUAGAUAUUUUAAUAUUCUAAACGCUUUUAUAUUAAUAUUCUAAAGGCUCUUAUAAUAGUAUAUAGAAGGAGUAACAAUCAGUGCAAUUAGAGAUUUUUUUUUACGGGCGGGGAACUAAAAAAUCUUGAACUGGUCUUCACACCAUAAUCGCUCAGUGGCGAUCACAUCACAUGGGUGUACGGCGGCGCCCUUGAAUACGUGGGGCGACCAUCAACAUUAUCUACACUGCACCCGGCAGCUCAUUCAUCACCAAAACGUGAUUAAACCACACGAAAGUGAAGCACAACUAGGUCGAAAAGUCUUAGGGUUCGAGGGCCUACGUGUAUAUAGCCGACAUGCCAACUACUGUAUAUUCAGGGGCGGGAUUUUAUAAUUGUAUACACAUCCAGUCCCUCCCGAGGUCUGAAUUAUCAAAUCAACAACGUCCCACAUUUGUGUUUCUUCCUUUUUUGUGUGUGUUUAUUCGAUGUCUACAAGAUUUUAUUUAAAAGUUAACGCGCCGUCACGUAUGUAGUUUCAUCAAGUGCUAGGGCUAGUUCCCCUCGAAAAAAAGUGCUAGGGCUAGUUGAUUGAUCUGCUCAGCGUAACAAAGUUUUUUUUUUGCGAAAGGCUAAUGGAGUUAUUUUUACUAUUUUUUGAAAAGGUUUUAGAUCUAUUACAAAGGUUCAUUGAAAGUACAAAGCAAUCCCAAUAUAAUAAAAAAUGUAUAGAGGCCUCUAGACCAUCGAACGACUAUUGCCACCGCCAAAACGAGCCACCGACAUGUUACUGUCGGCGCUAAUAUUUAAAUCAGUUGCCUUGUGAGGUAGCUGCAAUGUGCAUAUAGGGGCAGACUAACUAUCCAUGGGUUUUCGAUAGAAUCAUAGGACACCCCAUUAUUUUGGACGAAAGAAUAUGUUUAUAUAGUAUAUAUUGUGUACAACAUAGGAAAAAGUAUUCUGGCAUAAAAUAAAAGGAUAUCUGACUCAAAACAAGCGCAAAAGCUAUAUAUCACUAACUGCAAGAGACCGGCAUUUCAGAGCUUGGGUGCAUCUGCGGCCAAGUGAACAACAAAUUUGAAAAAAAACAGACAAGUACAAAACUGAAACUUUUACACAUCUAAGAUGAGACUCUUGUAUGUGCUUACAAAUUUGCGCGUUGAUAUGCCAGUAGAGGAGCUCGGUAAGGAAACAAAAUUUGAGCUCAAAAUAUGUUCAAAGCUGCAACCAAAUUCGAGCUUUAAUUUUGUUUCUUAGCGAGCUCCUCGGAUGCCAUCUCACUGCGAAACUUACAAACACCUAGAAGUCUUACAUCUUUGAUAUGUAAAAUUUUCAGUUUUUUUAAUGUGUUGGUAUUUGAUUAAAAUCAUAUAUAUUUAAAUAGUUGAUCUCCAUUGUUUAUAUUUAUCUCAACAUGCACACAUGUCACCUCACUAUCCACUACUAUUAAUUCUCUUAACAUGGAUGUGAGAUGUUACUUAAAUGCCCAAUACUUCUAUUUAUAUGAACAUGUAAACAUGCCGCCUCAUAUCUUAACAUGUAUAAAAAGUGUUACUUAUAUUAUUUAUCUUCACAUGCACACAUCUCACUUCCCUACUAGGGAAAACCUUAUAGACAGAAUAUUACCAGCAGCGCGGUUUAAAAAAAAGCGCUACUUCUAUUUGGCAGUAGCGUGCUACAGCAAACCGCGCUACUGAUAUCCACAUAGCAAUAGCGCGUCAGGAGGCAACAUCACUACUACUACAAUCGCCACGACCUUGCCGCCAGACUAGGUAUAACAGUAGCGCCUGUUUCCUAAACGCACUACUGCUAUGUUGUUUAGCAGUAACGCUUUAUUCUUACGCGCUACUGCUAAAGCCAUCCUAUCUUCUCCAACCGGCCACCCCUCACUCUCCCCUCUCCACUCUCACUCUCCCCCGCACCCCCGUCGUCCGCCGCCGCCGCCGCUGUUCCCCGACCACCGUCAUCUUCCGCCGCCACCGGCGCUCCUGCUCCUCCUCCACUGAGGUAGUUCCUCCAUUCCUCCUUCACCUCCCUCCCUUCCUCGUCCCUCUCCUGAUCCCUCCCUCCCUACAUCAACCCAUUGCUUUUAUUUUCUCACACCAUACAUGAGUAAUACUACUUAUAUUCUACAAAUAUUUUAGAAUUAUAUAAUAAUCAAAUAGAAUAAGUCAUAUGUAGUUUUAGUCCACUGCUUCCACUCGCCGUCUUCGCUUUGAUCUGCGCCAAUAGCCCCCUCGCAUCGCCUCCCCUAGGCGACAUCAGGGGCCUCUGAACCCUAGUGUCGCAGGCCUCCUCUCGCGCCUCCCUCUGCCACCGCUGUCACCGGCGAGGGCCGCUGUGGCGGCGGGCCCGGCGCCGAAGGCACCUGGGCGGGUGGAUGCGGCGAGAUCUCAUCUGAGGCGGCAGGGGCGGCCCUUCUCGUGGGAUCCGAAGGCGGCGGCUAGGGCGGCGAUCCCUUGCUGUGCGGCGGUGGCCGAAGCGCCAUAAGCCGGCGGAGCGGCGACCCUGAGAUGGACUGCGGCGGUGGCAUCUCCCCAUCCGACGGGGUGCCUGAUCUGCUCGGAGAUGGUGGCGGCGGCGACUGCGGAUCCAAUGCCCUGAUCGGAUCCGCUGCAGGGUGGCCUUCCGCCGACCGGCGGCGCGUGGAGGGACCGGUGAGGAGAUGUUGGAUCUCCGCCGGUUUACCAACGGCGGCCCUCGUCUUUGUGGCGAGACUCCGCUCGGUUCCCGCCAACCGCGAGAUCGGGAUGACGUGGCUUCCGGUGAAAAUCGCGCCUGACUGCGGUCAUGGCGGACGAUGGCGGUGUCUCGGACGUCGUUCCCUUCUUGAGGCAUCGUCAUUGCAGGUCACGUCAACCUGAUCGGAAGGUUCCGGGGGAAACCGUAGAUCUGGGUCUACCGGAUCGAACGAUGGCGACGUUUCGAUGUCGUUCUCCCUCCCAGGCGCUUCGUUUUGGAGCAAGUGUUGGCUGGAGGGGACAAGAGGAGAAGCGGCGUGGUAUCUGACACGUCGACAACGGCGGGUCUCAGCGGCAUGGAGCAGUGGGGUCUUGCGAUGGGCGUGUGAUGAUGAAUGAGCGCAGGAUGGUUGCGUUGUCUGGCGUCGAUGGCAGCUAGACCAGGCAAGGUACAUGCAUCAGUACAACACUAAAAGAUGGAUUGGUGGCAGGUGGCCGCGACGGCCUCAUACCCGGCAGACGUCCUGGUUGAGGAGCGCAUCGGACUGGUGGGUGCCCCAUACCCGGCAGGCGUCCUGGUUGGGACCUCACGUCUUAAAUGUUAGGUUUGGCUGCGAGGUUUGUUUGGCAUUAGGCCCAGACUAUCAGCAUCCCUUCAUCAACUGGAUAGGAGUAGCGACAGAUGUUGCCUAGACGGUGGCUUUAGUCUUAUUUUUGUGUGACUUUGUAAGGUCUUAUAUGAAUAAUUAAUAAAGUGAUUACAUGCAUCGUCCAAAUGCAGAGGUCGGAGAUUUUCCUACAUUUCUAAAAAAAUGUAGUUUUAGUCUUCAUUCUCAUAUUAAAAUUUCAGACAACCAGAUCUCAUCAAAAUAAUAUAUUGCAACCAACUCCCGCAGGAUGCCGCGGGGUAUCUUCUAAUUUACUAUUCACAACUGGAUCAUAUGAGCUCGAGAUCACAGCUUCCCUACAGUGGUUGUUCGUGGGCUGCUACCCAGAUAUUUUUUUUGCCAUUUUUCCUUCGACGGACAGGUUUUCAUACAUACGUUGUGCUCUCGUAUGUGUACGCACAUGUGUUAUCAUCAGUUUUAUACAUAAAUGAGCUCUUAUAGUUCUGUACAUAGAUGUGAUUUUAAUCUGUUUUAAAUAUACAUGUGAUCUCUUUUGUUCUAUAAAAUAUAUCGGUUUGUCCACAUUUCUUCAUUUUUUCUUUUCCUCUGUAUUAUUCUUUUUAAGUUUUACUUUACUUUACUUUUCCUUUUUCUUUUGUUUUUCCAAUUUAUGUUUUUCUCUUUUUUCCUUUGUACUUUUUGUUUUGAAUCUAUUUCCUUUUUCUUAAUUUAUUUUUUAAUUAUUUCCCCCUUUUAUUUUAUUCCUGCCUUUAUUUGUUGUUGUUCUCAUAUAUAAGGAAAAUGUUCAUAGCAGUUUACCAAAAUGUAACUGUGUAUUGAAUAGAGGCCCACAUCAGAUUAAAAAAAUGUUCACCACUGUAUUAAAAAAAUGGUCAUCAUGUACUUUAAAAAGGUUGAUUGUAUACUAAGAAAUAUUUAGCGCUUUUGAAGAAUUGUUCAUCGUGUAUUAAAAAUGUUCAAUGUGUAUGUAAAAAUAAUGCAUUGAGUAUUUAAAAAUACUCGUCAUUUCUUUGGAAAUAUUAAUACUGUAAUUUUGAAAUGUUCACUGUCUAUUUGAAAACAUAUUAUUGAAAAAAAAUCCAUAUUUUUUUAAAAAACAUGCAUAAAUAUGUGUAUAGGUUAAAAUGCACAAUGACGAAUUUUUAAUUCAAGAUAGAAAAUUCCUAAAUAGAUGGUAAAUAUGUUUUUAACACAUGGUUAAAUGUUAUUUAUAUGCAUACGAAAUUUUCUCUUAAUCAUGUGAACAAAAUUUAGAUACAUGAUGAUUUUUUAAUACGCGUUGAAUUUCCUUGAAAUUCACCAUGACCAUUUUUUAAUACACAGUGUACAUUUUUCUAACAUAGGACAAACUUUUGGGGCCAACAUGGUAGUAUAAAAUAUAUUUCUAAAUAUAUAUUUGAAGAAUAUUUCUAAAAGUGAAGAAAAACAAAUAAACUGGAACAUGAGGGACUUUUUGAUUGAUGUGAGCAAAACAAAAACUCUAAAAUUAGCCACGUGAGGAACGAGUUUAUGUGCCAACCAUGUGUUAGUGCAGCAGGCGACGUGUUUGAUGCGCUCGCUAGAAGUGAGGUAUAACAGCUCUCCAAAACAAGACUAACCCACCUGCUAAAUCUAUGCCUCACCACUCAGACAUGGCCCAUUGACCAGAUUUGGAAACUCUAGCCCAAUUAGGGAACUCCACCCGCCUCUGCACGGGGCAUUUCUAUGUAUCACUUCUUGCAAGACAGACGUCCGCGGGCGGUGACAUGUAUCGCUCUUUGUAAGCUACUAUAAACUGCGUUGCCCACGUCACUCGUUUGUGGGCUAACCUAGAAGCUCCCGACGUGUCCUCGUUAGAGCAUCUACAACCGGGCGCCCCAAACUCGAUUUAUACGUUCGCAUGGACCGCCCGGUUACUAAUCAGUCACGGUUUUUCGAUCCAGACGUACGUCUCAAACGCCUGGACUGACCGGUACCCCUCGUAUCCAGGCUAAAUAUAGGGCGGAUAUGGGCGUUCGGACGUGUUGGGGCACGCCCGCCGCGUUGGACCCGCCCCAUUUUGACCCACCCGACACCACAUAUAUCCGUCCCUAUCCGCUCGCCGGAGCAAACCCUAGCCAUUUCACUCCACUCCCCUCCACUCCCCUCCGCCACCCGAGCUCACCUCCGACAAGUUCCGACCUUCUCCAGCAUGGCAUGCGGCAAAUCUAACUCCGACCACUCCGGAUUCGUUGACUGGGGUGUCAUCCCGUGCGGGUUGGAGGAGACAAUGGCAGUCUGCAUUGCACUCCGCCGCUCCCGGGAGGACAGCUCCCGGCAGACGAACGGAUUCAUCCGCCACGACGCCAUAGCGUCGGCUCACCGGGCGCUCGGGUCCUCUAGUGUUGGAUCCUCGCGGUCCCGGCAGCCGGAACACCUCUGCUUCCCCAUCACCGUCCGGGUAGACUAUGAGUCCCACCGGGAACGGGCGGCCCGUCGUGACGGCGCUGGCGGCCGCAGAGGAGGAAGCCAUCCACACCCGCAUUGUGAAGAAACGACAGAAGAGGAACAUGCGCGCCCUCGCUCGAGAGCAGAAUCCGGCGGUCCGUGCCAUGGCCGGACUGCCGCCGAAGGAGGAGGAGAAGGACAACGAUAGCGAGGACAGCUCCGGCGACGAGCAGAUCCGGCUCGAUCCGUACCGUGUAUUCGACCGGCACUUCCGCGAGAAGGACGGCAAGGGCGUCGGAAAGGGCAAGGGCUGCCGUGGAUGAACUUCACCACAACCAAACAUGCCAAAAUUUGGUAUUCCGAUGUCAUGUUUAGUUGGUAGUGAUGGAGUAGCCGGACAAUGUGUGUGAAUCGACGUAGUUGCAUGAGUUUGUAUUGAUUUGAGAUAUCAUAAUUGAGAUGUCCGAAUGUGGAUUACAUUAUUUGAGGGAUGCCCGGUCAGUACCAGCGGAUGCGCCCAGGCGCGUCCGCAGGCGUUUGAGGGACUGGGUUUGCCAAGUCCGCCUGUAGAUGCUCUUACAAGCUUGUUUCUUUUCUUUCCUCUCGCUCUUUAAUGGUUUUUUAGGGACUCACUUUUUAUUGUUGCAUCAUGGGGAAAAAAUGUCAGUCGGUCCUUUUAGUUUCAAAAAAUGUAAUGCAAAUAAACAUUUUUUGAUGGAUUGAAAAAUAUCUUUAAUUUAACAAAAUGAUUGUUGAUCUGCAAAAAGUUAAGGAAUUUGAAUUUUUUCCAAGAAUAUUAAAAACGUACAUGAAUUUAAUAAAUUUUGUGAAUUGACUUUUUGCAAAUUUUAAAUUUGUUGGUGAAUUUAUAAAAAUGCUAAGUUGUGGUAAAUAAAAUCUUAAUCAUAUAUUUCGAUUUUUUUGCCAUAUAUUAGAAAGAGUUCAACGUAAUGGAAAAAGUUCACCAUAUAUUAUAAAACGAUCAUCAUAUAUUAAAAAAAAUUAAAUGUGUAAUUGAAAAUGUUCAGCGCAUACAUAUAUCUGAAAAAGUUCAUCAUAUAUUAAAAAAUCAUCAUUUAUGAAAUAAAUUGACUAUAUAAUAAAAAAUACUCAGUGCAUAUUAAUAAAAUGUUGACCAUGUAUUUAAGAAAAGACAAAACAUAAAACCGAAAAAGGAAGAAAAACAGAAUACAGAAGAGGAAAACUUGCCAAUCAAAACAAAGGAAAAAAAACUGGCGAAAAGCUUCAAAAACCAGUGGAAGCUUCCAAAAACCGGAGCACCUACUGGACCAGCCGUUUAUAUCCUUCUGUAGGUGAUGGCUGUGUAAACGUUCGCAACAAGCGACACAUUAUGCAGGCAAUGGCGAUGGCUGUGUCACACAUAUCAAUCGUGGGCGUCCACCUCGCCGGCAACUGUUCCAGCUUGGGAUCGUCCCACUAUGCUAUGGUAGUUUUGGUUUUUUCUGUUCUCUAGCGCUAUUAGUCGUUUCCCAGCCGAGGUAAAUUUCAAAUAUGAACACGUAAGUAGCACAGUAAUGUCACACACUUGGACAUUUGUUUUAGAUAAAUAUUUCAUGUGUUUAAAAAAUGAUAAGAGUGUAUUAAAUACUGUUCAAUGCAUAUUUAGAAAAUGUUCACGGUUGUGUGCAUCGUUUGAUAUAGAGGCCGGGGGUAAUCCAACUUUUUUUAUUUUUUUUCCAAAAUGUUCAAUGUCAAUGUGUGAUUCAAAAUGUUCAUAGAAUUUUAAUAAAAUAUUGGAAACACUUAAAAAUUCUUGACAUGUCUAAAACAAAGUUAAUGACAUUUAUGAAAAAUGAUCAAUGUGUGCUUAAAACAUGUACAUCGUGUAUUUGUAUGAAAAGUGCAUUUCCUAAAUAUGCGGUGACUUUUUUUUAUGAAAGAAGGAACUGGUGACUUUGGUAUUACCCUUUAAUAAGGUAGAAAAAUUAAACAAAAUAAAAAAUUCUAAUGAAAAAUGAACAAAGAAAAAGCCUUGCAUACAACUUUGCACUAAAAUUGCAUUUUUUUAAUAUGCAAGAAUACACAUAUAAUAGUGCAAUUUUCAGAAUCUAGUAUAAUUUAGACACAUAUUAUUUUAGUACAUGUGUGCAUACUAAAGAAUAAUAAUAAUAAUAAUAAUAAUAAUAAUAAUAAUANNNNNNNNNNNNNNNNNNNNNNNNNNNNNNNNNNNNNNNNNNNNNNNNNNNNNNNNNNNNNNNNNNNNNNNNNNNNNNNNNNNNNNNNNNNNNNNNNNNNNNNNNNNNNNNNNNNNNNNNNNNNNNNNNNNNNNNNNNNNNNNNNNNNNNNNNNNNNNNNNNNNNNNNNNNNNNNNNNNNNNNNNNNNNNNNNNNNNNNNNNNNNNNNNNNNNNNNNNNNNNNNNNNNNNNNNNNNNNNNNNNNNNNNNNNNNNNNNNNNNNNNNNNNNNNNNNNNNNNNNNNNNNNNNNNNNNNNNNNNNNNNNNNNNNNNNNNNNNNNNNNNNNNNNNNNNNNNNNNNNNNNNNNNNNNNNNNNNNNNNNNNNNNNNNNNNNNNNNNNNNNNNNNNNNNNNNNNNNNNNNNNNNNNNNNNNNNNNNNNNNNNNNNNNACACACACAAAUUGGCAUGCAUUUCAUCCAUGCAUGUGCGUGCAAGAGUGCGUGAGUUGGAGACAUGCAUGCAUGAAGAGGUUGCAUCAAGCACUCAGCAAGAAAAUACAUGAAAUGGAUUGAACAAAUAAACGGGCCAGUCAAAUCCUUGGUGAGCUUUCACACACGUAUCACAAAGCACCUUGAAACAAGGCUACAGUUUGACUGCUCGAAAAUGAAAAUUUAGUCGACUGACAUAUAGCUAAAGCAAAAAAAGGUGUGACAAAUAAUCUAAUCCCUGAGAACUAUAUCCUUCCUAUUUGAAAAAGGAAAUCUCCAUAUACCACCUAAAAGUCCAUUCACACCUUCACUUGUGGCCCAGCCCAUUGGAUCCCUUCCACUUUUAACCACUUUAUCGAGAAUAUGGUUAUCUUUCUGCCUGGGGUAGCUGCAUACGACGGCGCACCUAACGUUCCCAAGGUUGGAAGGCCGGCUAUGCAAAGUAGCUUAGGUGGUUAGCAUCGAGUCAGCAUGUUAAUCCCCUGGAUACUUUUGUUAACGUAGCCCAUACCUUAAAGUAAAAUAUACCAGUGAGUACAAACGACGCCCAGAAAAAGAGAGCUCUAACCAAGUUCCAGGUCCGGUCCCUUUCAUAAUCCCCAUACGGCACCACUCGAUCGCACUCGGGGAAUUGGCAGAUUCUGCCAUGGCACAGACCGCCACGAGCGGCGUGCACACAACGCCCACGCACCACGAUGUUCUGUUUGCUUGACACCCCACCCCAAGCCCACAACGAUCAUCGCUUUUGUCCAAUACUCCUACAUAUCUACUACCCCGAGACGACCACAAGGAGCAUGCAUGCAUGCAUGCAUGUGCGCGCCUAACAAAUCAUGCGGGGACAGGGCAAUCAAGGGCGACGCCGAGCAGUGUCGUCUAGCUUCACCAAAUGGACCUCCAGCCCCGCUCUGAAAUGGACACGGCAACCACCAGUCCACCACCACCGUCGACUCCAUUGAUCCGCCCAUGCAAACCACCCCGCCUUUUCCCCGAACGAGCGGGCUAGAGGACGGCAUGUGCGGACGAGCACACGUCACGAGCGUGCGGAAAGGCAUGGCGCGCUGGUGGUGACCGUGUGCGUCGGUUUGGGAUCCUGUGUGCCCAGUUGGCUCCGAUCCCUCGCCAAAGGCCAUAUAUACACAGUCACACUCCCACCCGCUCGUGGCCUCACUCAUCACACUCCUUCCACUGUCCCCAGGUCCUACAAUCACAGAGCAGGCGAACGAACCAGAGGGUGAGCCCAGCUGCAACCGUGGGGGCGAGGAGAGAUCAGACCGGCGAGUCCUGUAGCAGGGAGCUAAGGGGCAUGGCGGACUGGGCGCCGGUGUUCAUCGGCCUGGUGCUCUUCAUCCUCCUCUCGCCGGGGCUGCUCUUCCAGAUCCCCGGCAAGGGCAGGAUGGUGGAGUUCGGCAACUUCCAGACCAGCGGCAUCUCCAUACUCGUCCACGCCGUCAUCUACUUCGCCCUCAUCGCCAUCCUCAUCCUCGCCGUCAACGUCCACGUCUUCCUCGGCUGACCAGGAGACGCCGCUACCUGCUACCUCCUCAUCGCUCAACAGUUAGGUAUCGUGGUCGUGGAGGAUCGAGAGGAAUACCCAGUCACUGUCGCGUUCAUCUUCAGGCUUCCUGAUGGUUUAGCUUCUAGGAGCGCAGGGAGAGGCGCAGUAUGAUGUCCAUUGGGCAAUUUAGUUGAUGAUUUGAUAUUUUAUCAGGAAUGUAUAGCUCCAACUUCUAUGUGCGCUGUUUCGUCUGAUGGUAACUGAGAAUCAAUUGCAAACUGAACUAUGUUGAGGAAUCUCAUCUUUAGAGAGAAAGCAUAUAUGAGCAUUCCACAUGAUGAACUUUAGUCGUUGAUCAAUGCUCGUACCAACCGUCUUUCCCAUUUUUACA
rnacentral:lncRNA from 1 species